AACGAACGCUGGCGGCAUGCCUAACACAUGCAAGUCGAACGAGAACUUCGGGUCUAGUGGCGCACGGGUGCGUAACGCGUGGGAACCUGCCCUUAGGUUCGGAAUAACUCCCCGAAAGGGGUGCUAAUACCGGAUAGUGUCUUCGGACCAAAGAUUUAUCGCCGUUGGAUGGGCCCGCGUUAGAUUAGCUAGUUGGUAGGGUAAAAGCCUACCAAGGCGACGAUCCAUAGCUGGUCUGAGAGGAUGAUCAGCCACACUGGGACUGAGACACGGCCCAGACUCCUACGGGAGGGAGCAGUGGGGAAUAUUAGACAAUGAGCGAAAGCCUGAUCCAGCAAUGCCGCGUGAGUGAUGAAGGCCUUAGGGUUGUAAAGCUCUUUUAGCCGGGAUGAUAAUGACAGUACCGGGAGAAUAAGCUCCGGCUAACUCCGUG
rnacentral:rRNA from 1 species